rnacentral:rRNA from 1 species
GGUAUGUAAGCUCUAUCAGCAGGAAGAUAAUGACGUACCUGACUAAGAAGCACCGGCUAAAUACGUGCCAGCAGCCGCGGUAAUACGUAUGGUGCAAGCGUUAUCCGGAUUUACUGGGUGUAAAGGGAGCGCAGGCGGUGCGGCAAGUCUGAUGUGAAAGCCCGGGGCUCAACCCCGGUACUGCAUUGGAAACUGUCGUACUAGAGUGUCGGAGGGGUAAGCGGAAUUCCUAGUGUAGCGGUGAAAUGCGUAGAUAUUAGGAGGAACACCAGUGGCGAAGGCGGCUUACUGGACGAUAACUGACGCUGAGGCUCGAAAGCGUGGGGAGCAAACAGGAUUAGAUACCCUGGUAGUCCACGCCGUAAA